AGUAGAGUCAGCUAAACAAGCUAUUGGGCCCAUACCCCAAAAAUGUUGGUUAACACCUUCCACUACUA
rnacentral:tRNA from 1 species